GUCUAGGUUUGUUUUCAUUUUGUCAUUGUUUAUUUUAACUAUACUCAACUAUUUUGACAUUAGGACAGGUAAUACAAUUUGUUUAUUCUAUUAUAUCAUUACUUUUUAUAAUAUUUUUGUGUCACAUUAUUUGUAUACGGCGACAUAAGCUCAAAAUGUACAUUAGGUAUCGGAUUAUCAUUUUUACCACGGACUACUACUAGAAUCACUAGAAUAUCUCAUAUUCUCGUCGUUAAUACACUUUGUACGUCAUAAAUCAUGAUCUUCUCCGUCGACAUAGUGCGCCAUGAGUUGAAUCACAUAAUAUGUAACUCAUGGUCGUCCAACUUUCUACAAUUUCACAAGUGAAAGAUUCUGAUGGACAACGCCAUUUCAACCUGAUCGACCAAUUUGGUAGAAAUAUUGAAAGAAGUCGUCGAAUUCUGCACAAUCAUAUUGGUUGAAGCAAUGAAGAACAUAACAUUCAAUCAAUCAAAUGGCUUUAUAAAAAGUGUUGCAAAACAGACAGUGUCAUUUUAAGCCUUAAAAAAAUACGUCGCUUUAUUCAUCAAGUACCUCAAAAUAACAUCAUAAGGUGAUGAAGUCAAUUUCUGAAGUUUUCGGCCGUAUCUUGGCACAUCUCGAUGGGUAACCUCACAGGAAGUUGUCGCGAAUUCUCAAAUCAAGUGAGCAUGAAGGGAACUUCACGUCACCUUUUAGAGAAAUAAGGCGCGCGGAGAACAUCUGUUGCAGUUGAAGGCUGUUCUUCGGACCAACCCAUUUAACGACUGACCACAAAACAACCAGUCGGACUCAAUUAUUAUAAAAUGAAUACAUUCAUUGCUCCGCGCAAAUUCAUAAAAAGUUUUCCAAAUAAUCUAAAAAAAUAUACAUAUUUUAUAACAAUAGUAAUAUAACACAGUUUUUCUUAUAGAUAUUUUAAGUUAAAAUUUGGACGAAAUUACAUAUUAUUAAAUAACCAAGAAUAACGAUUUUAGUUUUUUUUUGUAAUUGUAUAAUAUUAAUUCA